AUUGAACGCUGGCGGCGUGCCUAACACAUGCAAGUCGAGCGGUAACAGGUGUAGCAAUACAUGCUGACGAGCGGCGAACGGGUGAGUAAUGCUUCGGAAUCUACCCAAUGGUGGGGAAUAACCAGCCGAAAGGUUGGCUAAUACCGCAUACGUCCCACGGGAGAAAGCAGGGGAUCGCAAGACCUUGCGCCAAUGGAUGAGCCGAAGUCGGAUUAGCUAGUUGGAGGGUAACGGCCUACCAAGGCGACGAUCCGUAGCUGGUCUGAGAGGACGACCAGCCACACUGGGACUGAGACACGGCCCAGACUCCUACGGGAGGCAGCAGUGGGGAAUAUUGGACAAUGGGGGAAACCCUGAUCCAGCGACGCCGCGUGUGUGAAGAAGGCCUGCGGGUUGUAAAG
rnacentral:rRNA from 1 species